rnacentral:piRNA from 1 species
UGGAUAUAACCUGUUCCUGUGUC